UCAGAUCAGUCGAAGUUCUGCUCGAUACUCUGCCGGGAAGUCCGAAGAACUGUCCAGAAGCUAAAGGAGGUUCUGUCCGAGUCCAGAUCAGUCUGUCGAAGUCUGUCAGUUUCUACAUGGUGAAGCCGAGGUUCUGUCCAAGUUGAGACCAGUCCAGCCCAGUCCAGUCAGUUCGUCCCUUGGGGUUUGCCAUGUCCUCUCCGAUCAACCAACUGUUUCUCGCCUAGAACACUGUGAGUAGGCUUGUUUGAAUUCCACUUCAAAUUUAGGGUAGUUUUGUGAGUUGGUUUUGUUUGAGUUCCACUUGGAGCUUAGGUUAUAUCACGUCGCAUAUAAAGUAGAAUUCUCACGCUCUUGCAUGGUAGAGUCCUUAGGGUUAUUUUAUUUAUGAAACCGGACUCAGUUUAGCACGGGCUAAGCUGAGAUGAAAGGAAUUAAGACUGAGUUAAUAACCUGACUAGGACUAGGGCUAGGUUGCAUCAUGUUUUCUAUUAUUGCGUGUUGAU
rnacentral:lncRNA from 1 species